rnacentral:lncRNA from 1 species
UAACGUUCCCUUUCCAACUACCAAAUUUACAGCAGCUAUACCAACCUAUAUACAACCCAUACUCUCACACCACACAGCUACACCACUCAUCCCCUCGCCCUACACAGAGACACCCCCACACCUCUAUUCUGACACUUCAUUCCCACGGUCUACGGCCUCUCUUUCCUCCUCCCAAAUUUUUUACAUCCACACACACUACUUCCUCCCUUAUACAUAUCCACCUCACUCACCAAAUCCCUUCUUCU